UGGUUCUGGCAUNGAUGAAGAACGCAGCGAAAUGCGAUAAGUAAUGUGAAUUGCAGAAUUCAGUGAAUCAUCGAAUCUUUGAACGCACAUUGCGCCCUCUAGUAUUCUGGGGGGCAUGCCUGUUCGAGCGUCAUUACGUACUUCAAGCUCAGCUUGGUCUUGGGUGUCACUAAUGUGGACCUUAAAAUUAGUGGCAGUGUUUUAUAGGCUUCCAGUGUAGUAAUUUUCUCGCUGUGGAGUCUGUCUGGAACACUACCACCAACAACCUAUUAUUUUAAUUUGACCUCGGAUCAGGUAGGGAUACCCGCUGA
rnacentral:misc_RNA from 1 species